AAGCCGCCCACACACCAACAGCACAGUUCAACCACUACGACGAGCCAAAAGCGACGAAAGCUGCAGGCUGUCCAAAGAAAUGGCAGCAUCCGGCCGAAAAAGGCAGUCGGCCCUAUGUGAUACCGCAAGAAAAUAAGUCCACACUAGAAAUGGAGAUGGAAGAGGAUGAGUCACCACGGUGGUCUAAAUCACGGAGGAGCAACAGUAACUUCGUGAACUCUGGAUCCACGAUAGA